GAUGAACGCUGGCGGCGUGCCUAAUACAUGCAAGUCGAGCGAACAGACGAGGAGCUUGCUCCUCUGACGUUAGCGGCGGACGGGUGAGUAACACGUGGAUAACCUACCUAUAAGACUGGGAUAACUUCGGGAAACCGGAGCUAAUACCGGAUAAUAUAUUGAACCGCAUGGUUCAAUAGUGAAAGACGGUUUUGCUGUCACUUAUAGAUGGAUCCGCGCCGCAUUAGCUAGUUGGUAAGGUAACGGCUUACCAAGGCAACGAUGCGUAGCCGACCUGAGAGGGGGAUCGGCCACCCUGGAACUGAGACACGGUCCAGACUCCUACGGGAGGCAGCAGUAGGGAAUCUUCCGCAAUGGGCGAAAGCCUGACGGAGCAACGCCGCGUGAGUGAUGAAGGUCUUCGGAUCGUAAAACUCUGUUAUUAGGGAAGAACAAAUGUGUAAGUAACUAUGCACGUCUUGACGGUACCUAAUCAGAAAGCCACGGCUAACUACGUG
rnacentral:rRNA from 1 species